rnacentral:rRNA from 1 species
AGCGUAUAUUAAAGUUGUUGCAGUUAAAAAGCUCGUAGUUGAAUUUCGGGAUCAAUACGUCGGUCGUGCUUCGGUACGUACUGGCGUCAUUGAUUUCUCCCUUCUGACGAACCAUGAUGUCAUUAACUUGGUGUCAUGGGAAAUCAGGACUGUUACUUUGAAAAAAUUAGAGUGUUUAAAGCAGGCUCACGCUUGAAUACAUUAGCAUGGAAUAAUGAAAUAGGACGUUCGAUCCUAUUUUGUUGGUUUUUAGGAUCAACGUAAUGAUUAAUAGGGAUAGUUGGGGGCAUUAGUAUUCAAUUGUCAGAGGUGAAAUUCUUGGAUUUAUUGAAGACUAACUACCGCGAAAGCAUUUGCCAAGGAUGUUUUCAUUAAUCAAGAACGAAAGUUAGGGGAUCGAAGACGAUCAGAUACCGUCGUAGUCUUAACCAUAAACUAUGCCGACUAGGGAUCGGAUGAUGUUAUUUUUAAUGACUC